GGCGGACCGUGUCCUGAGGGAUACUACUGCCCAGAGGGAACUGUUCUACCUGUGCCCUGUGAUCCAGGGACAUAUGCUGCUGUCACACAUGCUACGCAGUGUGAUCCCUGUGUGCCAGGCUGGUACUGUGUGUCCGGCUCGCUUUCUUUGUGUCCUACAGGCUUUUAUUGUCCCGAAAGGACUGGAUUUGACUUGAGAGGCUGUCCAGAGGGAACUUACGGCCCUGAUCCUGGCUACUGGUCUGUUUCUCAGUGCAGGCAGUGUGACGGCGGCCAUUACUGCUCUUCCAGAAAUGGCACCGCUGUCACUGGACCAUGUCAUGAAGGAUAUUACUGCUCACAUGGAAACACUUCUCCCCAACCUCAGUCCCAGGCUGCAGAAAAGGGAGGAACAUGUCCUGCCGGUCAUUACUGCCCCCAGGCCACCGUCCAUCCUCUGCCCUGUCCACGGGGAACUUUCUCUAACCUCACCAAGUUGGUCUUCCAGGAGGAUUGCCAGCCAUGUCUCCCCGGUUACUAUUGCGAUGCUGUGGGGCUCUCGGGGCUUACAGGAAAAUGCUGGGAAGGUUUCUACUGUGUGGGAGGUGCAGAUCGCCCUGACCCUCCUUUGGGUCAUAAGCACGGAGGGCCAUGCCCAAAAGGUUAUUUCUGUCCUGAGGGCUCUGCGGCUCCUCGCCACUGUCCCUUGGGAACCAUCGGUACGGAAGAUGGUGGAGCCAGCUGCAGUGCCUGUCCUCAGGGUUUUUAUUGUCCUGGCAGACUUAACGGCUCCCUGUCGAGGACUUAUGAGUGUCCAGUAGGUCAUUACUGCCCGUCCGGGACCUGGUCCAAACACCAGUACCCAUGUCCACCAGGAUCCAUCAACCCCCACGCUGGGAUGGCCGAGCCCCAGGACUGCCUGCCCUGCCCUGCAGGCUACUUCUGCUUUACCCCUGGGAUGAGUGUUGCAUCAGGCCAGUGUGACGCAGGGUACUACUGCUUCUCUGGGGCCCGGUCACCCACACCAGAUGACGGAGGGACGACAGGUGAUAGAUGUCCCGAAGGCCAUUACUGUCCCCGGGGUUCCUCAGCACCACUGCCCUGUCCCAUCGGGCAUUACAGCAACAGCACCAGAAACCGUUAUCCCUCCAACUGUCUGCCUUGCCCUCCAGGUUUCAUCUGUGACACUAGAGGGCUCUCUCUCCCUUCUAAUAUCUGCCCAGCUGGCUCCUACUGUCCAGGCAGAGAAAACAGCGGGCAGCAGGCCUCUUCACCUUGCCCACCUGGAAACAUGUGUCCACCUGGAUCCGAUAGACCUGUACCCUGCUUGCCAGGGACCUUCCAGGAUUUACACGGACAGGCAGAAUGUGUCAAAUGUCCAGCCGGAUUUUACUGUGCUGGUUUGGUGGAUGCGGACACUGGCCAUGUGUCUGGUCCUGCCACUUCGACUCUGUGUCCUAUCGGACACUAUUGCCCACAAGGAACGCAGUCUGGUGUAGCAUUCCCAUGCCCAGCUGGCACUUUCAGCGGGCAGAUGGGGUUGUCCAAUCAGUCGGGCUGUGAGCUCUGCCCUCCAGGGAGAUAUUGCGGUUCCUCUGGACUUGCUGCACCCACUGGGGUCUGCUCUCCAGGUUACCUCUGUAGCCAUGGUUCGGUUUCUUUCAAGCCGGAGGAGGGCCCAACAGGAGGCCGUUGCUCUGCAGGGUCCUAUUGCCCCCAGGGUACCCACUACAUGGUUCCUUGCCCUACAGGCACCUUCAGUUCCAAAGACGGGGCCGUUUCUGUAGAGGUUUGUCGGUCCUGUUUGCCUGGCCAUUAUUGCUCUGCGCCUGGCCUGUCCUCCCCAUCUGGGCCCUGCAACCCAGGUUUCUACUGCAUCCAGGGAUCCAGAACGGCCACACCUAUGGGUGACACCUCAGGAGAUUCCACGUCGCCAUCUCCACUACCUGGUGAUUCAACCCUGGAACAGUUCACUGGCAGUGUGUGUCCUGCAGGCCAUUACUGUCCUAAAGGGAGUGCAAAGCCAAGCCCUUGUCCUCCAGGAACCUUCUUGGGAAGGUCUGCGGCUGAGUCUCAGACUGAUUGUGAGGCUUGUUACUCGGGCUCUUACUGCCCCUCCUGGGCUCAGAGCUUUGUCGACCUCCUCUGUCCCCCGGGGUGGUUCUGUCCACCCGGAUCAGUGUCCGGACAUCAGCCAGGAUGUCAGUGCCCGCCCGGCCAUGCGUGCCCACCUGGCAGUGCCGAGCCGGCCCUCUGUAGCCAUGGCAGUUUUCAAUCUUCCUCUGGACAGUCCACUUGCAACACCUGCCCACCAGGUUUCUUCUGUACUCGGGGUUCAUCCGUGCCAUCGGCGUGUCCGAUGGGCAGCGUCAGUCCCUCGGCUGGCAUUACGUCCCCGACGGACUGCCCCGCCUGCCCCGCUGGCUACUUCUGUAACAGCAGUGCUCUGACAGAGCCGUCCGGAGCCUGCAGCCCAGGACAUUUUUGUUCCCUGGGAUCCACGGAGCCUUCCCCUGUCUCGCAGCCUUAUGGAGAUGUCUGCCCCGUAGGACACUUUUGUCCUGGGAGUAGCGGGUCACCCAAACCAUGUCCUGUCGGCAGCUUCCUCCCAGAGCGUGGAGCUUCUGCCCGCUCUCACUGUCACCGUUGCCCCCCAGGGAAAUACUGCCCGACUCCUGGAAGCUCACAGCCCACAGGUCUGUGCUCUGCAGGUUUCUUUUGUUCUGGAGGGGCAGAUAGCCCCACGCCUCGAGCCUCUGUGUUCAGCUGUCUUUGUGAGAUACUGGAGGUUUACACCACAAAGAAAGACGCCGCACUCUGGAUUCACAAUCUGCCCUGCUUCAAUAAUUCCAGUAGUUCUGGAAGCGACGCUAACUGGAUCGAAGUGGUGACGGCGACGGAGGCGGACUCGGUGACUCACUCACCGCUGUGCCUCAAGAGUCCACAUCGGAGCUGCUCCUCGUACAGAGGAGACAUCUGCCCUAAGGGUUUCUAUUGUCCCGUGGGCUCUUCCUACCCCCAGCCCUGUGAAGCUGGAUCUUACUGUGACCAGAUUGGGCGAGAGGCCCCUGCAGGGCCUUGUGCUGCAGGAUAUCACUGUCCCAAAGGCUCUUUGAACCCCCAUGCCACCCCUUGCCCCACAGGACACUACUGCCCCGCCGGAACUCCUCUUCCUCGGUCGUGUCCCAUUGGGACCAUAAAAAGUUCCCUGGGUGGGUCUACGGUGGGGGAUUGCCAGAUGUGUCCCCCAGGUCACUUCUGCCACCAGAGAGGAAUAGCUGAGCCAAGUGGGCAGUGUGCAGAAGGCUACUAUUGUCCUGAGGGACAGAGCUCCGAGAGACCACAACAACAUGUCUGCUCACUGGGACAUUAUUGUGAAAAGGGAAGUAUCAGACAGAAGGCCUGCCUCCCCGGCAGCUACCAGCUAAGACAAGGCCGCGGCAGCUGUGAGACAUGCCCUUCCGGUUUCUACUGUCGAGAUCAAGGAGUGACCCAUCCACUCCCUUGUGAGAGAGGAUUUUAUUGUCCCGGCGGAUCAGCAAAUCAACAUCCCUGUCCGGCUGGAACUUACGGAAACAUGUCAGGACUGGUUGAAGAGUGGCAGUGCUCAAUGUGUGACCCUGGGAUGUACUGCAAAGGAACAGGGAGGACUUUUGCCAGCGGGCCGUGUGCUGCAGGGUUUGUUUGUGUUGGCGGAGCCUCUGAAUCUUCACCACUCGAUAAUGUGACUGGCUUCCCAUGCCCUCCCGGCUUCUUCUGCUCCGUGGGGACUUCUUCUCCAAAAGCAUGCCCGAAAGGAACAUUCAGUGAGCAGAGCAGGCUGGUGGAGGAGUCCCAGUGUCGUAGCUGCAUUCCAGGCUUCUACUGUUCAGAGAUCGGCCUCUCGGUAGUCUCUGGGCCCUGCCUGCCAGGUUUUUACUGUCUAGAGGGAUCCCAGACUGCUGCCCCAAUGUCAAGUGAAUCUGGAAGUGUUUGUCCCGCGGGCCACUACUGCGCAGAGGGCAGCAGCGUUCCCACACCCUGUCCGGCUGGCUCUUACCGGAAUGAGACUGGAGGAAAAAGCAAAGAUUACUGCAAAACAUGUCCUCUUGGCUGGUUCCAGGAUUUAUCGGGCCAAACAGAGUGUGAUCCCUGCCCUGCUGGGUUCCACUGCCAGUACCCGAGUAGCAGCCCCACCAUGGGAGGCCCUACUGGAGUCUCCAGCCCUCUGCCCUGCCCGGCCGGCUACAUAUGUCCCAGGGAGAAUCCAGACAGUCACCCUUUUCCCUGCCCCAAAGGCACCUACAGCCCCCGCCACGGUCUCACCUCCACAGGUGAGUGCUUUGUGUGUCCAGCGGGUCAGUUUUGUGGGUCUGACGGGUUGGUUCAGCCUUCGGGGCCGUGUGCUGCUGGGUUUCUGUGUUUGAUGGGCGCCACAGUGCCCAACCCGACUGACAACAGAACUGGAUCUCUCUGUCCACCCGGGAAAUUCUGCCAACGGGGGCAAACAGCAGGGGAUUGCUGGGCAGGGUUUUAUUGCGACUGGGGCUCCAGCAGAGCAGAUACGGCUCUGUGCCCUGCUGGUUUCUUUUGCCCCAGAGGGACACUGGUCCCAAUCCCUUGUUCUGCAGGAACAUUUAGCUCUGAAACAGGAAACAUACAUCAAGACAAUUGCACUACAUGCACACCUGGGUACUACUGUCAAGUUAAAGGUACUAUACAGCCUUCCUUAUGUCCCGCUGGAUACUACUGUCCUCCGGGGAUGUCUCUAGGACGAGAGUUCCCCUGCCCUCCUGGCACUGUGCAGAACCGACUCGGAGCCUCCGAUCCCGACGCCUGCCUGCCCUGUCCUGCCGGAAAGUUCUGCUCUCAACCCGGUCUGUCGCAGCCAACAGGACCUUGCGAGGCCGGCUACUACUGUCCUGCUGGUUCAACCAGCCCUAACUCUACUGCUUAUCAGGGGAAUUCUACCAUAGGACACCUUUGUCGUCCAGGUCACUAUUGCCCCUCUGGCAGCGGCUAUCCCCUCCCCUGCCCGGCAGGCUCUUAUUCCAUCUCGCAUGGACUGAGGGGAGUUGAUGGAUGCCUGCCCUGCCCCCCUGGACGGUUUUGUGACAGGCCUGCAAUAGCAGAGCUCUCCGUUGCACCCCCAUGUCAUGCUGGGUAUGUGUGCCUGGGUGGCAGCUCCAGUGCCACCCCAUCCGACGGUUCCCAUGGCUACCUCUGCCCCUCGGGCCACAGCUGUCCCGUUGGCUCAGCAAGUGAGGUGCCCUGUGAGACCGGCACGUACAGUCCUGCCACUGGAGCAGCUCACUGCUUAAUAUGUCCCAAAGGGUUCAUGUGUUCCUACUUAGCAACUCAAGAGCCUUCUGUCUGUCCAGCUGGUCAUUUUUGUCCUGCUGGGACCGUGCUGCCUGAGCUCUGUCCGUUGGGGACUUUCAGCAACAAGACAGGAGCCUUUUCUCUCUCUGUGUGCACACCCUGUCCCUCUGGAGUGUACUGUAGCUCAUACGGAGCCUCAACACCAGACGGUUCUUGUUUGCAGGGUUAUUUCUGCACGGGGGGAGCCACACAGCCAACACCGCACAGCUCUGACAACUCCCCAGUGAAUGGCCCUUGCCCCGUGGGCCAUUACUGCCCAGCAGGGUGCCUCGCCCCAAUUCCCUGCCCUCUCGGCAGUAUUCGCAAAACCAUAGGAGGGGUGUCCAUGGAGAGCUGCUCCGCCUGUCCCGCUGGUCACUACUGCUCUGCGGAGGGUCUUGCUAGCCCCAGUGGCCCGUGUGCAGCUGGUUUCUACUGCCCUUUUGACUACUCCUCGACCACUCCAUAUGCCUUCUUGUGUCCCAAGGGCCAUUACUGUCCAGAAGGCUCCGUUCUGCCCCUGCCUUGUGCCACAGGAGAGUACCAGCCAAACCCGGGCUCAGACGGCUGCGUCCCAUGCCGAUCUGGGUUCUACUGUGAGGAGGCCAUAGUGGGAGAGCCAUGGCCCUGCCCACCACACUCAUUUUGCCCUGCAGGCACAAUGGUGCCUCUGCUCUGCCCCAAUGGGACAUACACUCCUUCAAACCAGGGAGGACUACAAGAAGAGCGAGAGUGUUUACCCUGCCCUCCAGGGAAAUUCUGCAGGGCUGGUAGGAUCCAGGGUUUGUGCGCGGCGGGCUAUCUUUGUGUUUCUGGCAGUGCAGAUGUCACCCCUGAGGCGCCACUGUCUAACAUGACACAGUGCCAGUGGGGCAUGCAGUGUGCUGGACCAUGUCCACCAGGUUUUUACUGUCCUGAGGGAACGGAGGAAGCUAAGUUCUGUGCUGCAAACACCUUCAGAAGCUCCCCGGGAGGUGCCAGCCUACCUGACUGUUUACCCUGCCCACCUCAGCAUUGGUGUAAACCGGGAGACCCAGUCCUUCAUCCGUGUCCGCCCGCUCAUUACUGUGACGGUCUGCCUGGAAGUGACUUUAAUGGAGGCACAGGACCCAGGCCAUGUCCGCUGUACACCUAUCGAGCUUUACCGGGAGCAGGCAGCAAGGGUGACUGCCUGCCCUGCCCUCCUGGUUCUCACUGUAACAGAACAGGGCUUACAGACUACUCCAACAGUCGGUGCCCGCCUGGUUUCUGGUGCAGCGGGUCUGGACCCCCCAUUCUCUGCCCUGCAGGCACCAAAAGGCCCCGUCCUGGAGCUGCUUCACCAAGCCAAUGUGAACCGUGUUCAGGGGGAACCUUCUGCCCAGAUCCGAGAGCAACAGGGAGGCCGAAUGUGGAGGGGAUCCCCUGCAGGGCCUCCUAUCAAUGCCCAACUGGUGCAGUCUCGGAGAGUCUGUGCAGAGCCGGCUCAUACUGUGGACCUCAUACUGAUGAGCCUGCAGUCUGUCCCAAAGGGUAUCUUUGUCCUGAGGGAUCUCAUACCUACAACACCCCCAAGCAACUAUGCCCUUUUCCUUACUACUGUCCAGCAAACAGCUCCUUCAUGAGGUCCUGCAAGGGAGGAUUUAUGCCCAUCAACACCAGCGACCUCAGAGGAUCCAAAAACAGCUGUUGUCGUGUGUGUGAGGGGGGCACCUAUCGCCCGUACCUCUCCCCCAUCCUGCAAUGUCUUCCAUGUCCACCGGGAUACUUUUGCUCUCCAGGUACAACCGACUACAAAAGUUCCCCCUGCCCUGUUGGGUAUCGCUGUCCAAAGGGAGCCGCCCAACCAAUAGCCUGCCCUCCUGGCUUCUUUGGUAACAUUACUCAUGCUGAGACAUUGAGUGACUGUCACCUGUGUCCAGCUGGCACCUUCAACCACCUGCUUGCUCAGAAGGCCUGCUUCCCCUGUGGCAGCUCCUCCACCUCAACAGCCGGUUCUUCUUCUUGCACCUGUAUCGGUAAGAAUCGGGCAUUUCAGCACUCGGAUGGUUCAUGUUUGUGCAGAACUGGUUUCAUCUUCUACAAUGAACUGGACUUCAAAAGUUCUACCUCUGACAGUGAAUUGGACUGCCAGCCUGAGGUGAACAGACGGUGUUCUGCUGGUCAGGUACGUCUGGCAGCAUCCAGGGAGUGUGUGACACCUUCCCUCCACUCCUGCAAUACAACCUGUGGACAACAUGGAGGAACUCUGGAUGUGGCGAUGGGCAUCUGCCGGUGUGAGCGAUAUGUGUCCGCUGAAGAGCUUUGCAACACGUCCUGCCUCUUCACACUACCUCAGCUCUCCGCCCAGAUCUCACCAGACGGGCACCUGCUGCUCAGCUUAAAAGAAAGAGACAAGAUGGUGUGGGCAAGGACUGUGAUGGAUGUUUUAGGACCAGAUAUCCACGCAAAGGGUAUUGGUAAAAUCCAUUUGAUCCAGUUUGAUCCUGAAGGCGUGUUUGGUUGGAUUCCAACACAGAAAGAGCUCAUCAAUAACUUUCUGUCAGAACCGAUUAAACUCCUGAAGACAAGACAAAGAAAGAGGAGAGACAUGGAAGAUGCCGAGGAUUAUGAUGCUUCUGACACAGCUGUCCUUCCUCGUAUCCCCAACCCCAUUGUCUGUCUGUCCUCGGGUGACAUGCUCAUUUUCCAUCUCACCAUCAACCACACUGACCGACAUCGGAGCCACUUUCCAGUGUAUCAGAAAGACCACCUGUUUAACAGUAAUCCCAGUUGGGACUUUGGUGCCUUCAGACGACUGCAGAUACUCAUGAAGCAGACCAACUUGAACUCUACAAGGUUCGCCCACGUGUUUUCAGCAGCUGGGAAGUACGCGUUUGUCGACAGCACCGUCCCAGAGCGGAGUAUGGUGGUGGUGGUCAGUGAUCAGGGGACAGUCUGUGACCCUCGGGCCUCCGUCUUCCAGCCCAUGACCCCGGCACAGCUGGUGAAGCACGGGAUUAUCAAGCAGCACAGACUCAACCUUCUUCCUGACUGGGGAGUGAUAGCAGGGGUCCUUGGUCUGCUGCUGGUUCUCGUUGUGGUUUUGACCACCACCGUGAUAGUUCUGCGACCCGGUAAAGCAAAACUCGUCUCCCAAUGGAGGAAUAAGCCCAAGUGGCGCAGCCUCGGGGAGCCCUUCUGUCCGGUGGAUUGUGUUUGCAGUGAAGACAACAAAGUUGUCCCAAGCGUAGGUGGCUUACUAGGUAGUAGAGGUGAAGGAGAGGGAGCAGAAGCCGAGGAGCCCGCUGUUUCAAAAGGAGGAAAUGUUCCAGGGCGCUGCGAUUUGGAGGAGUUGAAUGUCAAGACUCUGUUUGACAAACUGGAGGAUCAGAACUUACACUUCGCCUCACAACUGGCCCGACACCGCAAAGACACACAGGAGUUUUAUAGAAACAUCUGUCAACAGACUGAAACACUCAAGAAUGUCCUAGACAAUAUGGAUCAUAGAAAACUAAGCUUUCUAAAGGAACUGCUUGUCCAUAAUGCAAUGAAGAAUAAACCAUUCGACUGCAGUGCAAGAGGGAGAGAUUUACAAGUUGAGACCUCUACAGCAUUACUAGGAGAUGUACUCCAGUCAGUAGAAGCUCUUCUCUGCAAGCUGGCGGGAGAAGCUUGGCAGAACCAGGAUUUAGCCGCCCCUCCAUACUGUCACAUUGGUCCUCGUGAUGCCAGGGAAUGUGAACCACGAGCUGGAUACAGACAAUCUGGUGACAACAUGUGUUAUACACAGUUUUCGUCAGCGAAUGUGAUCAAAGCAGAGCCAGUACAUCUACCGAGCACAGAGUCCUGUUUCAGUGACCACGACUUGUCCAGACUGCUACAGAACAGUCUGUCCAGGAAAACAAUGAAGGGCAACUUAUCCCGACUGCCCUCGACAACCUCUCCGUGCAACACUCAGCCGUCUUCCUGUUCGGUUGCCAGGUGAUGCAGUUGCUUGCGAACAGCCACCUGUUCCCCCCUGUGCUUCUCCUAAUGGCCAAGUCGAUACCUGUUCCUUUAUCUUCCCCAAAUGAGGGUCUGCUGACACAUUGUUCAAGGGACUUUUAUUUUGAUGCAUCCAAUCAAAUCCUUUAUCUGUCAGAGGAAAAGCUUCAUCACGUUGGACAUUUCAUCGCCCUCAUUCUGCAGUCCAUGGCCUACAUAGUGUCAGGAUCCAAACCUCUGAGUUUCAUGGAAGCCCUUCAUGAGGCAAUAUCAGCUUUAAGCCUUCAGCUGUUCAACGUUUCUUUCAAAUGGAACACACCAGGGUCAAAUUCCAACGCUUCAGAGGGGCAGCAUAGUGCAUUAGUGGAAGAGUUUCUCAACACUAGAAUUCCCACUGAACCACAGUUUACCGAACACCUUUUAGCUUGCAGGCUUCAGAAACAGCUUAUGACAAACCUCAAACAGAUUUCAACUGAGGACACAAACACAGCAGGUUUGCCACCAAAAGGGACACCAAUGCAGAUGUCCUGCAUAGAAGACGAAAUUGACCGAAUGAGUGAGUCUUUCUUGCAGCUGAGCGUGCAGCUACAGAAGAGAGCUCAAAUGAGCACAUGGCUAAAGGAGAGAGAAAAUGGAGCUGGCAACCAUUCUGUGCAGGCAAUACCAACGAGCAUACCAAGUCUCAGUCGUAAUGGAACGAUCCUGCUGGAGCUGAAGAGAUCCUAUGUAUCACAGCGCCUCAACGAGCUCCAAAUGACAUUAGGCCGCAUCAGACAGAGCCAGCAGCGUGACAGCGAGUCAAAAAAUGGAACAAGAGGCCGCAUGCAAACCGACAGCAGCGCCACUCAGCAGGAGCAGAGCGACCAUUAUCCUGGCGUAGCUGAUUGGGGUCCGCUUGGCGGCCAGCGGCCGGACAGUUUUCCAUCUGACACGAGUCACAGCCAGCAAAGAGCAGAGAGCAGAGGUCCCGGUAACUCUAAACCGGAGAGUCGUAUAUCCGACCAGCUGAUGAGUGACACUGUCCAGAGCAACAACCCAGACGCAUCACUAGACUGCUAGAAGUCGUGUCUCUGUAUCCCAAGGGUGCAGGAGGCUUUGGUACACGUUUGUUUUGAUGCACAGAAUAAUACAAUUUCUUGUAUGUUUAAUCAGAGCUAAGUGUGUUGUUUUUAAUAAUGUAUGAUCUUGAAUUCUCAGGCAGGACUUAUUGUGUUCUGUUUAUUACCAUAUUCUAAAGAAGACGAUAAUCUUCAACUCGGUAGAUUCAAAAUGUGCUUCUGUGUUGUUUCUUACUCACAAACACUUCUCCCUUUUGUAGCGGUGACAACCUCUGUCUUCAUAAGUAUUUCAUGUUUGUCCGUUUUCUUCAUCUCAAAGCUCCAUUCAAAAUCUUGCUGGAAAGGUCUAUGCUUCCUUCCUCACUCGGGUUCCUCGGUUUGUCUGACGCACAGGGUUCUGGUUCUUUUAAUAGAAAGUGAGUAUUCCUACAGGGGACUGCGGGCCAAAUCAGAAGGUCAGAUGGAACAAGUCUUCACUUACUAUCAGUGUUAGCUUAGAGCUCUGUGACAACUCCCCCGAGGUGCAAUUUGGCAUUGCCCUGUAGAUUUGUGUGUGUGUGUAUGUGUAUGUGUUUGUGUGCGUACGAGGGGUGUGGUUCAGUGACUCCUUGAGAUUAUACGCCUUAUCAAUUAGAUUAGCUGCUAUGUGUUAGUGAUUUGGCCUCACGGUGAGACAAGGCAUCAUAUAACACGGCUCCUGAGCCCUGUGUUUCUACAUUAGCGGUACAGCGUUAUGUUUGCUCUAGUUGUUGGGCUCAACACAAGUGUUAUUUUUAGACACCGUCUUUUGUGAUUUGUGUGUGACAGUAUGUGUAUAUAUGUUUGAAUACUAUAUGUAUACGAUUGCAAAAUAUCCAAAUUAAAUACAAAACAUAUUCCAUGAGGUCUGCCAUGUACUCUAAUACAAUGCUAAAUGCUAAAGUUCUAACAGUGGGUCAAGAAUCAGCUGUCUUUUGUUGUAUAAACACAGCAAAACCUUUUUUUUUAAUUGCAUUGGAAUAGCAGAUUUCUUUGUGUACAUUUGUGAAUUCAAUACAUGGAUUAUAUAAUUGCAUAGAGUGCUGCACAGAUACAGAUGCAUCUAGAAUGCAUAUGAAAGAUGCUUGUAGAGAUAAACCAAAUUCCGACGUUAAGUUACAGUAUAUAUUUUUUCUAGCAAACCCCCACAAGAUUUACAUCUCAGUUUCCAACAUGUUUCAUCCACGGCAGUCUGCCGUAAUCAUGUUAUAAUCUUGAAAUCCUUCCAAAUCCCUAGAAAUCUGCUCUCCUCUGACCCAAAACUGGCCCUGUACACAUGCACACGCGUAUGUAUACAUACAUGCUCUCACUAACACACGCUCAUGUGUCAACUGCUGGUGAAUGCUGUUUUCUUGCUCUCCAGUCUUGGAAUUGAUGCACCCUUUUUUGGGAUGCAUUUACCAUAAAAUACGCAAAAGUGCUUCAUUCAUCACCUGCUGUGAAACCCCUUUGAGCUGCACACAGAAAAACACAGAGUGUAAAAGCACAUGAUUUAAUACAUAUGUUAAAUCAUUUUCUUUGAGAGGAUUUUCUUUUAUGACUAAGUCAAAACAUUAAGCUCUUAAAAAAUAUAGAGCUGCGUUUGAGCCUUCCUGUUUUAAGCCUGUGGUCUGUCGCUAAGGAGGUCUCUCGUCACCAUGGCACUGCAUUACUGUUUCUAUGGUUUCCUUAUCUGCAGGAUGUGGUUCAUCCAAGCCUGCCAUAUUUAGUCUGCUUCUC
ensembl:lncRNA